UCCGGGAAAUCUGACAGCUCAACUGUUAGGCUACCGGGGGAUACUGUUAGACUUGGGACCGGGAGAGGUAAGAGGUACUACAGGGGUAGGAGUGAAAUCUUGUAAUCCCUGUGGGACCACCAGUGGCGAAGGCGUCUUACCAGAACGGGUCCGACGGUGAGGGACGAAAGCUGGGGGCACGAACCGGAUUAGAUACCCGGGUAGUCCCAGCCGUAAACGAUGCUCGCUAGGUGUCUGGNAUGGUGCGACCGUUUCAGGUGCCGCAGGGAAGCCGUGAAGCGAGCCACCUGGGAAGUACGGCCGCAAGGCUGAAACUUAA
rnacentral:rRNA from 1 species